UACGGAGGGUGCAAGCGUUAAUCGGAAUUACUGGGCGUAAAGCGUGCGCAGGCGGUUCGCCAAGUCAGGUGUGAAAUCCCCGGGCUUAACCUGGGAAUUGCAUUCGAAACUGCGAGGCUAGGGUACGGAAGAGGGAAGCGGAAUUUCUGGUGUAGCGGUGAAAUGCGUAGAUAUCAGAAGGAACAUCAGUGGCGAAAGCGGCUUCCUGGUCCAGUACCGACGUUCAGGCACGAAAGCGUGGGGAGCAAACAGG
rnacentral:rRNA from 1 species